GGGCCCGCACAAGCGGUGGAGCAUGUGGUUUAAUUCGACGCAACGCGAAGAACCUUACCAAGGCUUGACAUCCUACUAACGAAGUAGAAAUACAUCAGGUGCCCUUCGGGGAAAGUAGAGACAGGUGGUGCAUGGUUGUCGUCAGCUCGUGUCGUGAGAUGUUGGGUUAAGUCCCGCAACGAGCGCAACCCCUAUAUUCAGUUGCCAGCACGUAAAGGUGGGGACUCUGGAAAGACUGCCGGUGACAAACCGGAGGAAGGCGGGGAUGACGUCAAAUCAUCAUGCCCCUUAUGUUUUGGGCUACACACGUGCUACAAUGGACGGUACAGACGGAAGCGAAGCCGCGAGGUGAAGCAAAUCCGAGAAAGCCGUUCCCAGUUCGGAUUGCAGGCUGCAACUCGCCUGCAUGAAGUCGGAAUCGCUAGUAAUCGCAGAUCAGCACGCUG
rnacentral:rRNA from 1 species